GGGGCUGUUCUGGCUUUGACAGCAUAGAUCUUUGAAAGUGUAAGCAUGCCCUGCGUUGCGUAAUUAGCAGGAUAAUCUGAAUACGAAAACUUUAAAUGGCAAUACUCAGUAUGCCAUGGCUGCCUAAUCAGUGAUUAAGUAGUCAUUAGGGCCGCCGAACAGGUUGAUCUGUUACCAUGUUCCGCCGCCGACUAAAAAACAAAACAGGUUGCUGCAACAACAGGCUGUGACGGUUGCUUAAGAUGUAUCCAGCUACGGAAAUAAUUGGUUUGUUUGGUUCCGGUUAUUUCCCGACAAUUAAUUCCAAAAUAAGCAUGUAGAAAGCUUUUGGAGAAUAUGUUUGGACCAGGGUUCGACUCCCUGCAGCUCCACCU
rnacentral:tmRNA from 1 species